rnacentral:rRNA from 1 species
GACAGAGGGUGCAAACGUUGUUCGGAAUUACUGGGCGUAAAGCGCGUGUAGGCGGCUUGGCAAGUCGGGUGUGAAAGCCCUGGGCUCAACCUAGGAAGUGCACUCGAAACUGCCUCGCUUGAAUGCCGGAGAGGAAAGCGGAAUUCUCGGUGUAGAGGUGAAAUUCGUAGAUAUCGAGAGGAACACCAGUGGCGAAGGCGGCGACCUGGACAGAUAUUGACGCUGAGGUGCGAAAGCGUGGGGAGCAAACAGG